rnacentral:lncRNA from 10 species
CCUCUCUGGGCCUCAAAGUCCUGAACUGCAAAAGCAAGAGACACAGCAGCUCUCGAAGGCUCCUCCGGCUCUGAGACGCCUCUAAUUCAAAAGGUUCUGGAAAUUUUUAUUUUGGGAAUCAUUAAGGAAGCAUCAAUGAUAAUCGGUUGGUGGGAAAAAAUGAGUAUUUCCUGAUAGGCACUGGACCCUCAGAACACCUCAACACGGCGACUCUCCCGGGAUGCGCCUUCUUCACCCGCUGCAUGGGAGAACACAGCUAGGCUGCUACGAGGCACCUGGCUCCAGGCCAGGCCUCAGGGCCUCAAAUCACAGCAGUAACAGCUGGGUCUUCCGAAGGCGGACACUGCAGGACGGAAACACACAAGCUUUCUGUGGAGUCCCUGUAAGACAGACGCCGUACGACAUGAAAAGGCCGGAUCCCCCUGCGCUGGCGCCAACACAC